GAUAAGCAAUCUGUGCAUCUUGUGAUGGAAUUAUGUGGAGGUGGUGAGUUGUUCGAUAGGAUUAUUGCUAAGGGGCAUUAUAGUGAGAAGGAAGCUGCCACCAUAUGCAGGGCUAUUGUCAAUGUUGUCCAUGCCUGUCAUUUUAUGGGUGUGAUGCAUAGAGAUCUUAAGCCUGAAAAUUUCUUGCUCUCUAGCAAGAAUCACGCUGCCCUUUUAAAAGCAACUGAUUUUGGACUUUCAGUGUUCAUCCAAGAAGGAAAGGUAUAUCGUGAUAUUGUUGGAAGUGCAUACUAUGUUGCUCCUGAAGUAUUACGUCGCAGAUAUGGAAAGGAAAUAGACAUUUGGAGUGCAGGAAUCAUGCUGUAUAUCUUGCUUAGUGGUGUACCUCCAUUUUGGGCAGAAACGGAGAAGGGCAUAUUUGAUGCCAUUUUACAAGGAGAUAUUGACUUUGACAGUCAACCAUGGCCAUCAAUAUCAAGUGGUGCUAAGGACCUGGUCAGAAGAAUGCUGACACAGGACCCAAAAAAAAGAAUUACUUCUGCUCAAGUUCUUGAGCAUCCAUGGCUCAAGGAAGGUGGAGAUGCCUCAGAUAAGCCGAUUGAUAGUGCAGUUCUUUCAAGAAUGAAGCAAUUCAGGGCAAUGAACAAGCUGAAGAAAAUGGCACU
rnacentral:misc_RNA from 1 species